rnacentral:pre_miRNA from 1 species
AAAAAGACAAACCAUAGUUUCCAUGUUCAACGUUUGACCGUCCGUCUUAUUUUAAAAAAUUAUGAAAAAAAAUUAAAAAGACAAGCCACACAAAAAAUAUUAAUCAUGUUUUAUUAUCAAACAGCAAUGAAAAUACGAAUUAUAAAAAAAUUUCAUACAAGACGGACAGUUAAAGUUGGACACGGAAAUUUAGGGUUUGUCAUUUU